UACGUAGGAGGCGAGCGUUGUCCGGAAUUACUGGGUGUAAAGCGCGUGUAGGCGGCCUGCCAAGUCUGCUGUGAAAGCGCCUGGCUUAACCGGGAGAGGUCGGUGGAAACUGGCGGGCUGGAGGCCGGUAGAGGGGGGUGGAAUUCCCGGUGUAGUGGUGAAAUGCGUAGAGAUCGGGAGGAACACCAGUGGCGAAGGCGGCCCCCUGGGCCGGGACUGACGCUGAGACACGAAAGCGCGGGGAGCGAACGGG
rnacentral:rRNA from 1 species